CAGCCGCCGCGGUAAUACGAAGGUCCCGAGCGUUGUUCGGAAUCACUGGGCGUAAAGGGAGCGUAGGCGGCGUGGUAAGUCAGAUGUGAAAUCCCGGGGCUCAACCCCGGAACUGCAUCCGAUACUGCCAUGCUAGAGGAUUGGAGAGGUAGCUGGAAUCCUUGGUGUAGCAGUGAAAUGCGUGGAGAUCAAGAGGAACACUCGUGGCGAAAGCGGGCUACUGGACAAUAACUGACGCUGAGGCUCGAAGGCCAGGGUAGCAAAAGGGAUUAGAUACCCCUGUAGUCCCUGUCUCUUAUAC
rnacentral:rRNA from 1 species